rnacentral:rRNA from 1 species
UACGUAGGUGGCAAGCGUUAUCCGGAAUUAUUGGGCGUAAAGGGCGCGUAGGCGGUGCGGUAAGUCACCUGUGAAAUCUCCGGGCUUAACUCGGAGCCUGCAGGCGAAACUACCGUGCUGGAGUGUGGGAGAGGUGCGUGGAAUUCCCGGUGUAGCGGUGGAAUGCGUAGAUAUCGGGAGGAACACCUGUGGCGAAAGCGGCGCACUGGACCAUAACUGACGCUGAUGCGCGAAAGCUAGGGGAGCAAACAGG